CACCGCGGUUAUACGAGUAACUCAUAUUAAUAUUUUACGGCGUAAAGGGUGAUUAGAAAAUACUAAAAAUUACUAAAGUUAUAAUUUUAUAAAGCUGUUAUACGCUCUUAUAAAAAGAAUAAUACACCAACGAAAGUGACUUUAUUUAAUAAGAACUUUUGAACUCACGAUAGUUAAGACA
rnacentral:rRNA from 3 species